GCUGAUGCGUUGUUGGGUAGGGGAGCGUUCUGUAAGCCUGCGAAGGUGGCCUGUGAGGGUUGCUGGAGGUAUCAGAAGUGCGAAUGCUGACAUAAGUAACGAUAAAGCGGGUGAAAAGCCCGCUCGCCGGAAGACCAAGGGUUCCUGUCCAACGUUAAUCGGGGCAGGGUGAGUCGACCCCUAAGGCGAGGCCGAAAGGCGUAGUCGAUGGGAAACGGGUUAAUAUUCCCGUACUUGGUGUUACUGCGAAGGGGGGACGGAGAAGGCUAUGUUGGCCGGGCGACGGUUGUCCCGGUUUAAGCGUGUAGGUGUGUGUUCCAGGUAAAUCCGGUUCACUUUAACACUGAGGCGUGACGACGAGGCACUACGGUGCUGAAGCAACAAAUGCCCUGCUUCCAGGAAAAGCCUCUAAGCAUCAGGUAACAUCAAAUCGUACCCCAAACCGACACAGGUGGUCAGGUAGAGAAUACCAAGGCGCUUGAGAGAACUCGGGUGAAGGAACUAGGCAAAAUGGUGCCGUAACUUCGGGAGAAGGCACGCUGACACGUAGGUGAAGUGAUUUACUCAUGGAGCUGAAGUCAGUCGAAGAUACCAGCUGGCUGCAACUGUUUAUUAAAAACACAGCACUGUGCAAACACGAAAGUGGACGUAUACGGUGUGACGCCUGCCCGGUGCCGGAAGGUUAAUUGAUGGGGUCAGCGCAAGCGAAGCUCCUGAUCGAAGCCCCGGUAAACGGCGGCCGUAACUAUAACGGUCCUAAGGUAGCGAAAUUCCUUGUCGGGUAAGUUCCGACCUGCACGAAUGGCGUAAUGAUGGCCAGGCUGUCUCCACCCGAGACUCAGUGAAAUUGAACUCGCUGUGAAGAUGCAGUGUACCCGCGGCAAGACGGAAAGACCCCGUGAACCUUUACUAUAGCUUGACACUGAACAUUGAGCCUUGAUGUGUAGGAUAGGUGGGAGGCUUUGAAGUGUGGACGCCAGUCUGCAUGGAGCCGACCUUGAAAUACCACCCUUUAAUGUUUGAUGUUCUAACGUGGACCCGUUACCCGGGUUGCGGACAGUGUCUGGUGGGUAGUUUGACUGGGGCGGUCUCCUCCUAAAGAGUAACGGAGGAGCACGAAGGUUGGCUAAUCCUGGUCGGACAUCAGGAGGUUAGUGCAAUGGCAUAAGCCAGCUUGACUGCGAGCGUGACGGCGCGAGCAGGUGCGAAAGCAGGUCAUAGUGAUCCGGUGGUUCUGAAUGGAAGGGCCAUCGCUCAACGGAUAAAAGGUACUCCGGGGAUAACAGGCUGAUACCGCCCAAGAGUUCAUAUCGACGGCGGUGUUUGGCACCUCGAUGUCGGCUCAUCACAUCCUGGGGCUGAAGUAGGUCCCAAGGGUAUGGCUGUUCGCCAUUUAAAGUGGUACGCGAGCUGGGUUUAGAACGUCGUGAGACAGUUCGGUCCCUAUCUGCCGUGGGCGCUGGAGAACUGAGGGGGGCUGCUCCUAGUACGAGAGGACCGGAGUGGACGCAUCACUGGUGUUCGGGUUGUCAUGCCAAUGGCA
rnacentral:rRNA from 1 species